rnacentral:sRNA from 1 species
AAAAUUGACAGUAAGGACGAGAAUAUUGAAUAUCACUAGACAACAACAAACAUCUUAGUCUUCUUCGGCGCCGUGAGAGUUGUACAAAGUUAAAAGGUAGCUCAACGCGACAAAUUCAAUUGCUAUAUCAAGAAGAGGGACCGAAUUUCUGUGUCUCAAAAUCCCUCCAAAAAACGGCCAAUUGAUCUUGAUCAUGCAAGCCAUCACCAUCGAUUCCAUAGACGGGAAGCCCGGCAAACCGGGCCAAGUUUACUACCCGCUCUCCAUCAAGAAACUCCCCAUCCCAAGACCACAAGGCACCGAGCUCCUCAUAAAGCUUACCGCCGCCGCCCUUAACCACCGGGACCUCUUCCUCCGCCAACACCUAUACCCAGGCGUAUCAUUCGACGUUCCCCUCCUCGCGGAUGGUGUCGGCAUCGUCAUCUCCGCCGGCCCAGAGGUGAAGGAACCACAGUCAUGGAUCCAAAGGCGCGUCGUUCUGAACCCGGGGACCGGCUGGCUGGAUUCCGAAGAAGGCCCUGAGGCCCCGACCGGAUACGCUAUCAUGGGCGGCACCAAAUUUAACAGCAAGGGCACACUGCAGGAAUAUGUCACCAUCGACGUGGGCGAAGUGGAAGAGGCGCCUGCGCACUUGACGGAUGUGGAGGCGGCGGCAUUGCCGCUGACGGGCUUGACGGCGUGGCGGGCGCUGGUGACGAAGGCCGGAGCGAAGAACUCGAGCAAAGGGGCCGCGAUCCUGAUUACGGGGAUUGGAGGUGGAGUUGCGCUGAUGGCGCUGAGGUUUGCUGUCGCGAGGGGUGUGCAUGUGGUUGUGACGAGCUCGAGUGAGGAGAAGCUGAAGCUGGCUGCUGGGUUGGGGGCGAAGGGGGGCGUGAAUUACAAGGAGCCUGAG